GUGCAUUAGAGGAGUUGAGAAAAGCCUCGAGUGGAGAAUAAACACCGGACAGCGUGCCCUCAGGAUGUGAUCCAUAAAACCGACUUAAAAACGGAUUACUUAUUCCAGUUUCUGCACUUCUUUGCUGUAAACAUCCCCGGUGGUUCUACGUAGAUUGUUUGUUUUUAUAUAAAACAAAUUGAUUAGAUUUCACGCCUCCUAAGCAUUGCUCCUGUUUUAUUCCGAUAGAAAAGUUGAUCUGUGUGUGUGGGAAUUUUUAAAAAGUCAUGCAGCUGAAGCUGGCUCUGUCACCGCCGGUGUGGAUGCUGAUGCUGAUGCUGAUGGUGAUGUGCUGCUGGAGUUUGGUCUCCGGUGCGGCGCGCAGUGAAGCGGAGGCUCCUCACGGGGACACGCUGGACUUCGGCUUUGUCCCGGCGGUGGUGUACGAGACACACGCGUACUAUGAGCCCGAAGCCGUGGACAUGCUCUUUCACAUAGUACACGCGUUUCUCUACACGGUACAGCCAAACCCUUUCCCAGCAGACCUCAUUGUCAGGAUUUUGCAACAAAACAUGAAAGGACUUAAACCAGAGGAGCUCCAGAAGCCUGAGAACAUCGUCCUAACGCUUCAGGCCAUUUAUUAUGAGCUGGGCUUCAUCGUGCUGGCAGUGUUGGGCGUCGUGUUCGUGCUGCUGAUGCCGUUGGUGGGUUUGUUUUUCUGCCUGUGUCGCUGCUGUGAGAACUGCGGAGGCGAGAUGCACCAACGGAACCGCAAAAACGCCGACUGCCUACGUGGCUUCUACACCGUCUCGCUCGUCACCUCGUCGCUGGUCAUGGUACUGGGUGUCCUGAUUGCUUACACUGGAAGCCACAACAUCACAUCCCAGAUCAACAACACCAAACGACUCGUCAGCUCCAACAUAAACGACCUGAAAUCACUGGCCAGUUAUACACCUUCGCAAAUCGAUUAUCUGACUGCUCAAUACACAACAGCCAAAAAUAAAGUUCUCUUCGAUCUAGACAACAUUGGGCCGUUGUUGGGUGAGCAGAUACACAACCAGCUAAACAGAGACGUGAUGCCAGCUUUAGACAAUGUACUGCGCAUGGCAGCAGUCAAAGUGGAAAGUGCUAUUAAAGCAAUGCGAGACACUAAGGAGGCUUUAGAGAACGUGAGCACUUCCUUAGAGACGUUACAGGAAGCAACCAGCAAGCUGCGGAGGUCUUUACUGUUGGAGCGCAAUUCGCUUUCAAACACGCUCGGCGAUCCGGUGUGCGGCAGAGGAAACGUCUCACGCACUUGCAGCAACAUCCGCAUUACGUUCGACCGGCUCGCUGUCAGCGCCGACUUCACUGGGCUGCCGGACGUCACUCCUCAGUUAGCAAAUCUAGAGAGUGUGAUGGAGACGGAUCUCAGCUACAUUGUACAGAAGGGCUACUCUGCUUUUAAUGACACUUCCAGGAUAGUGAGCGAACAGACACAAGACAUCAAGGCCAGAGUGAAGGCUUUGUUGGAUAAGUCAGGAGCAGAGAUUACUGCUUUCACCAGUGCGUUCCCAGUGGAAUCAGCGCUGGAGAACUUCACUCGGUUUCUGACAGAAGGACAGAAGAACAUUGAAGCGUUUUACCCACAGAUUGAGCAGUUGGACUUUUACAGGUGGAUAGGGUGUGUGGUGCUGUGCUGCAUGGUUGUGCUGAUCCUGGCUUUUAACCUGCUGGGUUUGAUGUGUGGAAUAUGUGGCCAUGAUAAGAACACUACACCUACAACACGCGGCUGUCUCUCCAACACAGGCGGCAACCUCCUCAUGGCAGGCGUUGGCUUUAGCUUCAUCUUCUCAUGGGUGCUGAUGGGAGUCGUGGUCACCACGUUUGUAACUGGAGGGAAUGUGGAGAAGCUCGUGUGUGAGCCUCUGACCAACAGACAACUGUUUAAGAUUAUAGACACACCAUACAUGGUCCAUCCUGGGAAAAAGAACUUCCUGCCUGGAAUGCUGUUUCAAAACCCAAACAUUGACCUUACCAUCGGCAGCCUGUACAGUGAAUGUUAUGAGAAUAGUGGCAUAUAUUCUGCACUGCAACUGGAGAACCAAUUCCACUUCAUCCAGUUCAUCAACAGGACCGUGAACAGCCAUGAUCUGUCAGACAUAUUUGAAGGGAUAAAUGUAGAUUUGGAAGGAAUAAUCCUGCUGGGGGAAGAUGGAAAAGACAAUCUGAUUAAUUUUGCUAAUUCAGGCCUCGGAGAAAUCGACUAUGAUGCCUUUCUCUCAGAGGUCAAUAAAGGAGUAACUGUUGUAGAUCUUCUCGCCUUUGCCAAUGAAUUGGAGGCCGAGGCCGAUCACCUGCCCCGUGGAGCUCUCGGGAAUGCUCUAAAAGGCCACGCAAGCAGCAUGAGACAGAUCCAUAAAGAACAAGUAGUGCCCAUGGAGCAAGCCAUGAGCUCAUUAAGUCAAAGUAUCAGGUUUCUACAGACUACAGUUGAAGAACUUCCUAGUAAAGUGACUAAUGUGCUGAGUGCCAUCAAUGCAGCUGAGUAUCUGAUCACCAACAACGCCUCACAUGUGGUCAAGAAGGAGACGGAUAAAUACACACACAACCUGAUGGGAUAUCUCAAACAAUAUGUUAUCUGGGUUCAUCUUUCGUUAAUGAUGGAGGUAGCUCAAUGCAAACCCAUCAGUAACGUCAUUGACUCACUGGAGAUUGUGGGCUGCAGUUUUAUAGUAGACUCCGUGAACACAUUCUGGUUCGGUUUGGGUGGCUGCUCUUUGUUCCUUAUCCCCAGUAUCAUCAUGUCUGUCAAACUUGCUAAAUUCUACCGCAGAAUGGACACAGAGGAUGUAUUUGAAGAUCAGGACGCCAAUAUCAUUGGUUAUCUUAGUGGUCGCAUAUGUGGCAUAAUUAACCCCAUGUUGGUCAGUAAACAAUGGCGGAAGCUAAAAGCUCAGAAUUUCAGGAAAACUGAGAUAGAAGAGACCUCACGCAAACGAUGAGACUACACUUGGCACAGAGAACUGGAGUUGAACAGUCCAUCAAUGUAAGAAAACCACAUGCACAUGGAAUGAUUUAGGCCUAAUUUCAUUCCAGAUGAAGAAAAGCGAAGAUGAGAAAGAGAAAGGGAAAUAAUGCAAAAGGAGAUACUGAUUGCUUUUUUAUAAAUAAAGCCAAAUGUUAUCACAUUCUAUAACUAUGAACUAUAUUAAAGAUGUCUUAAUCACUGUAUUCCAUCCUCAACGUUAAAACAAAAACAUACACACAAAACACAAUACAUUUGACCGUCUGAUGCACUGCUUCUUAUAUAUUAUUAACUAUCUUUGGUGUGGAAAAUAUCAUGGCCGUUGUUUUGUUUACUAUAAGAGGCUACAGCUUUUAUAGCAUGUCCCUUUUUAAUAUUUUUUAAACUUAAAACUUUAAAAGCAAUGACUGUGCUUAUAAUUCUUUGUUAACGUUGGUUUUGGAGGUCUACUAACAGUAAAUAGACGUUUUAAAUCUCCUGUAAUGUAUUAUAAUAAAUUUAUUAAUGAGUUAAAAACAUGUUAUAACACCAAUGAAACUCAUUCAGGUUCUGAUACUUUGUUGGAAGCCAUGAUGUUUGUUUAUUCCAAUCCUAAAUUUAUUCAGCAAUCCGGUUCAUUUAAUUGAAUUCUAAUUUCUUGCUAUAAUUUUGGUUGCUUUUUAAAUAUUUAUUAUGUUUAAUAGACUUGCAGAACAGCAUGCUUGUAAGGGGGGGGGGGAUCUAAGAGUUUUUCUAGGCUUUAUGAAUUGUUAUGAUAACGAAUUAUUACCAAAUUCUAAAGAAUUAUAAGCAAAGUCAUAAUUAUUUAUGAACGCAAAGUUCAUUGAGUUUAUGCAACGCAGUCUUUGUCAUUUUCCCGGAAUGAGUUUAAGACAACUUGGAACUUGAAGUAAAUGUUGGUCAGUCAUCUUUCCUAAAUUGUAAUAAAAUUAAACUAGUAAGAGCUCAGUAGAAAUAUGUUUGGCGGCCAUGUUUUAACAAUUUAUAUUUGACAGACAAUAUAAUAUAAUGUGUUCUGUUUUUUUUUUCAAUUCAAACUUUAACUAGUUGAUUAAAAGAAGACAAUAUAAAUUUGAUAAAUAAAAAUGUGUUUUUAAAGAUUCUCAUCUAAACCUAUUUAUAACGUUUGUUUUAUUAUAAUGAAUAAUGAACAGAAUUUCUGUCUAGUUUUAUAGAAAUCAACAGCAAUGUUUGCAUAUUGAGAUUUUUCACUUUUGUAACCAAAAAGCUUAGAUGACCCAGAAUUGCAGAACUAAUCUGACAUAAAGCCUAAAAUGUUUAUUCCGUAAAAAUUUGACUUGUCCUAGCAUACAACUAUCAUUAACAGUUUACAACUGUGUACAAUUCCUUGCGUUUUUUUUUUUUUCCUUGUCUUAAUUUCCAGUGGCUUACUGUAUUUGCUUAUUUAUUUCUCUCAUUUUGAUGGUGGUUUAAUUUGUACUGUAGUUGUUUUCUGAAUUUUGAAACCUUGAUGAAGAUCUUCAUUUUGUAUCACAUCAUUUGCAUCACAUCUAAUGAAGAGUGAAAGUUUAUUUACGUAAACUAUCCCUAAAUAACUUUCACUCAGAAGAAUUUAGAGAACGGAAAUUAUCUGAACGCUGAAUCUGAAAAAGAUGGGGAAUAAAUGAAGUUACAGUUGAAGUGGUAGCUUACAGGUCAGAUUUUAAGGAAAGGUUGUCAUGAUGCUGCUUUCUCUUGAGUCUAAACUGAUGUUAUUCAUCCUUGGAAUGGAUUUUGCCAAAUUAAAACCUGUCAAAUAAUUGAAAGUGACACAGAAUACAAUAUUUCCUCAUGUCCUCCACAGGGGCUCUCAAGCAGUCCUGGCACUUGAACUCACCCUGAAUAUCUAAGCUAUAUAUAUCAUAUCUGUGAAGAUUCAUAUGGAGUUUGUGUAAA